AUUGAACGCUGGCGGCAGGCCUAACACAUGCAAGUCGAACGAGUGGCGGACGGGUGAGUAAUGUCUGGGAAACUGCCUGAUGGAGGGGGAUAACUACUGGAAACGGUAGCUAAUACCGCAUACCAUCAGAUGUGCCCAGAUGGGAUUAUCUUGUUGGUGGGGUAACGGCUAACCCAGGCGACGAUCCCUAGCUGGUCUGCGAGGAUGACCAGCCACACUGGAACGGAGACACGGUCCAGACGCAGAGGGGAGGCAGCAGUGGGGAAUAUUGCACAAGGGGCGAAAGGCUGAUGCAGGAAUGCCGCGGGUAUGAAGAAGGGCUUCGGGUUGUAAAGUACUGUAAGCGGGGAGGCGUUACCCGCAGAAGAAGCACCGGCUAACGCCGUGCCAGCCGCCGCGGUAAUUC
rnacentral:rRNA from 1 species